ensembl:lncRNA
CGUAUAAACAAUUGUAACCAUAGCAACAUGCAGUUAUACUCACGGCUUCAUUAUUAGUAGAGAUGCGGCACAGACGCAGAGUGGGUGGAAUUCUAGAUCUAACGACCCAUACAUGGGCACUUCCACAGAAUUGGUGCAAACUGCUGUCCCACAACCAAAAACACAUUUAAAAAGCAUGGUCACGGGGGAGCCAGGGAAUCCCAGGGAACUCAGGGCACAACCCAAUUCCAGGGAACUCAGGGCACAACCCUAUCCCAGGGAACUCAGGACACAACCCUAUGUCAGGGAACUCAGGACACAACCCUAUCCCAGGGAACUCAGGGAACAACCCUAUCCCAGGGAACUCAGGACACAACCCUAUGUCAGGGAACUCAGGACACAACCC